AUUGAACGCUGGCGGCAGGCCUAACACAUGCAAGUCGAGCGGAUGAAGGGAGCUUGCUCCUGGAUUCAGCGGCGGACGGGUGAGUAAUGCCUAGGAAUCUGCCUGGUAGUGGGGGAUAACGUCCGGAAACGGGCGCUAAUACCGCAUACGUCCUGAGGGAGAAAGUGGGGGAUCUUCGGACCUCACGCUAUCAGAUGAGCCUAGGUCGGAUUAGCUAGUUUGUGGGGUAAAGGCCUACCAAGGCGACGAUCCGUAACUGGUCUGAGAGGAUGAUCAGUCACACUGGAACUGAGACACGGUCCAGAAUCCUACGGGAGGCAGCAGUGGGGAAUAUUGGACAAUGGGAGAAAGCCUGAUCCAGCCAUGACGCGUGUGUGAAGAAGGUAUUCGGAUUGUAAAGCACUUUAAGUUGGGAGGAAGGGAAGUAAGUUAAUACCUUGCUGUUUUGACGUUACCAACAGAAUAAGCACCGGCUAACUUCGUG
rnacentral:rRNA from 1 species